CCAUCUGAGUUCUGCCUUAACUGGUCCUUACUGGUCCCACCACCCCAUUCCACGUUCCAGUGACCCGUACUGGUUUAUACUGGUCUAUCCUGGUUUAUACUGGUCUAUACUGGUCUAUACUGGUUUGUACUAGUCUGUACUGGUCUGACCUUGAUGGAGAUGCUGAAGUGCCCCCAACCCCCUUAACUGGUCCUUACUGUCCCACCACCCCAUUCCGCAUUCCAGUGACCCGUACUGGUUUAUACUGGUUUAUACUGGUCUAUCCUGGUUUAUACUGGUUUAUACUGGUCCAUACUGGUUUCUAUUGGUCUGUACUGGUCUGACCUUGAUGGACAUGCUGAAGUGCCCUCAACCCCCUUAACUGGUCCUUACUGGUCCCACCGCCCCAUUCCCCAUUCCAGUGACCCAUACUGGUUUAUACUGGUCUAUACUGGUCCAUACUGGUUUAUACUAACCUAUACUGGUCUAUAAUGGUCUAUACUGGUCUAUACUGGUCUGUACUGGUCUGACCUUGACGGAGAUGCUGAAGUGCCCCCAACCCCCUUAACUGGUCCUUACUGGUCCCACCACCCCAUUCCCCGUUCCAGUCACCCUUACUGGUACGUACUGGUUUAUACCAGUCUAUACCGGCCCAUACUGGUCUAUACUGGUCUAUACUGGUUUAUACUGGCCUGACCUUGAUGGAGAUGCUGAAGUGCCCCCAAUCCCCUUAACUGGUCCUUACUGGUCCCACCACCCCAUUCCCCGUUCCAGUGACCCGUACUGGUCCGUACUGGUUUAUACUGCUCUAUACUGGUUUAUACUGGUCUGUACUGGUCUGACAUUGAUGGAGAUGCUGAAGUGCCCCCAACUUCCUUAACUGGUCCUUACUGGUCCCACCGCCCUGCUCCCCAUUCCAGUGACCCAUACUGGGUCGGUGGUGGUGAGAACCCCAACAGGAGCCAGGCAGGGUCUUCCUGCCAUUGGAUGAGUGCUGUGGGAGGUCAGGGAUCCUCACAGAUCCAGAUCACACCAGCACAUU